AUAAAAUCCAGCUGCCAAAGCCAAAAAAUAAAAUAAACCACAAUAAAAGAAUUAAGACAUUGUAACAAUGCCACUAAAAGUGGGAAUAAGACAUUGUAACAAAAAGAAUGCUCUUAUAAACAAGCCAUGAGUUGCGAGAAAGAUAUUUUAGCCACCACGGUAAGCAGUAAGGGCAUUAAUUCAAGUUAAAAAGUUUAUUGACGAAAAAAUAUAAGCAAAAACAAAAAGGUAUGAUAACUAAAACUUGGAACUCCAAAUGUUCUGCAAGCAGCAAAAUUGGCAAUUGAAUAUCAUAUCCACAGGAAACUCAGAAAUCUACAAGAUACUAAACUUCAAGGCAAUUCUGGAAAAGUUCUUUAUAAAUUAGAACCAAAUGACAAAACGGUUAGCUCAGCAUGUUAGUAAUUUAAACAAGUUCAUAAUGUAGAUUAUAGACAACCAAGAUGCAUUAUGUUAUGGACACUUUGUGGGACCCCUCAGCAAAGCUG
rnacentral:misc_RNA from 1 species